CCUUCAUGCUAUGAUGGGCUAACUGGGGAAGAAGAUGCUGUUCCUGACUCACAAACCCCAAGGAAGCAGAGCAAGAGGAUUUCUUCACACCAGGCAAAAUAAAGCUGUCAGGUCUGGGUCUCCAUAUCAUGCUUGUGAACCAGUCAGCUUUCUGUCUCUCUGCGCAUCCUGAACACCUGGACUGGACCUCAGCGUUUUUAGAUCCCUGAAGUUCCACAUGUUCUUGAAUCAACUCCCUCAUCCAGCCACCAGGUUCCAGAUGAUACCAUGAUGCCAACUGGACUUCCCAGGGCAGACAACCCCAACAUGUGUCCUGGAGCCCCGCUUCCCCAGAUCCCACAGGCCGG